UCUUCUUCUUCCGCCACUUUAAAAAUGAACUUGUCCGCAGCGGUUCUCCUAAACGGCUUGUCAGAUUUACUUAGGAUUUUACAAUAUGUUAGACUAACAUGUCUAGGUGAGCCAUCAAUGUUUCGUUUGUGCAUUGGGGUCUAUUAAGGGGUAUUUUGGGGGGUAGAAAGGAGGGAGGGGUUUACUAUAGAACCCUAUGGGAUUUUAUUUUCUAAAAUUUUCAAAUGAAUAUAACUUGAAAACUGUAAGUGAUAGAUACAUGCAGUCUUCAGAAAUGAUUAUAGGACAAUAAAACAAAUCACAUGAAAUAUAGGGGGAGUCCCUGGGGGGUCAUCCCCACCCCCUUCAAUUUGAGAAUAUGCUUUUAUCUUGUAAACGGUCCAGAUCCCCACCCCUAAACCAUAUAUAUUCUUGAAUGGGACGAUAAAACAAAUCAA
rnacentral:lncRNA from 1 species